AUUGAACGCUGGCGGCAGGCCUAACACAUGCAAGUCGAACGCGUGGCGGACGGGUGAGUAAUGUCUGGGAAACUGCCCGAUGGAGGGGGAUAACUACUGGAAACGGUAGCUAAUACCGCAUACAAUCGGAUGUGCCCAGAUGGGAUUAGCUUGUAGGUGAGGUACCGGCUCCACUAGGCGACGAGCCCUACCUGGUCUGAGAGGAUGACCAGCCACACUGGAACUGAGAAACGGUCCAGACUCCGACGGGAGGCAGCAGGGGGGAAUAUUGCACAAUGGGCGCAAGCGUGAUGCAGCCAUGCCGCUGGGAUGAAGAAGGCGUUCGGGUUGUAAAGUACUUGCAGCGGGGAGGCGUUACCCGCAGAAGAAGCACCGGCUAACUCCGUGCCAGCAGCCGCGGUAAUAC
rnacentral:rRNA from 1 species